GAUGAACGCUGGCGGCGUGCCUAAUACAUGCAAGUCGAGCGAACGGACGAGAAGCUUGCUUCUCUGAUGUUAGCGGCGGACGGGUGAGUAACACGUGGAUAACCUACCUAUAAGACUGGGAUAACUUCGGGAAACCGGAGCUAAUACCGGAUAAUAUUUUGAACCGCAUGGUUCAAAAGUGAAAGACGGUCUUGCUGUCACUUAUAGAUGGAUCCGCGCUGCAUUAGCUAGUUGGUAAGGUAACGGCUUACCAAGGCAACGAUGCAUAGCCGACCUGAGAGGGUGAUCGGCCACACUGGAACUGAGACACGGUCCAGACUCCUACGGGAGGCAGCAGUAGGGAAUCUUCCGCAACGGGCGAAAGCCUGACGGAGCAACGCCGCGUGAGUGAUGAAGGUCUUCGGACCGUAAAACUCUGUUAUUAGGGAAGAACAUAUGUGUAAGUAACUGUGCACAUCUUGACGGUACCUAAUCAGAAAGCCACGGCUAACUACGUG
rnacentral:rRNA from 1 species